rnacentral:rRNA from 1 species
UACGUAGGGUGCGAGCGUUAAUCGGAAUUACUGGGCGUAAAGCGUGCGCAGGCGGUUCGUUGUGUCCGUCGUGAAAGCCCCGGGCUUAACCUGGGAACUGCGAUGGAAACUAGCGAGCUGGAGUGUGGCAGAGGGGGGUGGAAUUCCGCGUGUAGCAGUGAAAUGCGUAGAGAUGCGGAGGAACACCGAUGGCGAAGGCAGCCCCCUGGGACGGUACUGACGCUGAGACGCGAAAGCGUGGGGAGCGAACAGG